CCUUGGUCAAAAAACAACCCUUUGUGCAAAGCCUUUAAUGCUCUUCCCAGACCCUUCCAUCAUAUUGAUUACACAUAGUGCUUCCCUGCAUACUGCAAAACACUGAAGAUGAGGGCUUGGGUUCUUUCUAUAUUAUACAACUCAUGCUUAUACAGUCUUUUCAGCCCUCCAAGAGGAUAUAGAGAAGUGCUGCAUUGUGGUGGUAAGAGAUCAGGUUGGGUUUAAAAUUGGCCCAUCACUCAAGAGGACUACAUUGGACCAUCUACAAGCCACUCAAGAGGACUACAAUGGAGAGUGGCGAAAACAUGGCGGUGCCUCAGACAGUCCUCUUCCCCGUAGAAAAGGAGAUUUAAAAUAGAAGACAAGUUGUGGAGCAUCACCACAAGUAGAGUACAUUUAGCCCUGAUUGGUCAAUCGCUGCACUUGUAGACUCGAGGUCUAGGAUGUGGUUGGGUUUAGGAGUCUGCAAUAUGAUUGGUUGUUCUGAGAGUAACGUUCAAGCGAUUGGCCCAAGGUGUUGGGUACUAUAUUCUGAUUGGGUCCUGUUGUUGGAUGAUGUGCUCUGAUUCGGUGCAAUGUUUGCUAGCGUGUCCUGAUUGUUGGGUCUGACUAGCAGGAGCAGCUGAGAGACACAAAAUAAAUGGGGGAACAAGGAUGGAAACAGAAAGAGAUGUAUAGAUCAACAGGAGAUUUAAUGGCAGUCCUAGUAUCAGUCUGUGGUGUAGUCUCAGUCCUAGUGAAGGUAUGUCAGUCUGUAGUGUAGUCUCAGUCCUAGUAUCAGUCUGUGGUGUAGUCUCAGUCCUAGUAUCAGUCUGUGGUGUAGUCUCAGUCCUAGUGAAUGUAUGUCAGGAUGUGGUGUAGUCUCAGUCCUAGUGAAUGUAUGUAGGUCUGUGGUGUAGUCUCAGUCCUAGUGAAGGCAUGUCAGUCUGUGGUGUAGUCUCAGUCCUAGUGAAGGUAUGUAAGUCUGUGGUGUAGUCUCAGUCCUAGUGAAGGUAUGUGAGUCUGUGGUAUAGUCUCAGUCCUAGUGAAGGUAUGUAAGUCUGUGGUGUAGUCUCAGUCCUAGUGAAGGUAUGUAAGUCUGUGGUGUAGUCCCAGUCCUAGUGAAGGUAUGUAGGUCUGUGGUAUAGUCUCAGUCCUAGUGAAGGUAUGUAAGUCUGUGGUGUAGUCUCAGUCCUAGUGAAGGUAUGUAAGUCUGUGGUGUAGUCUCAGUCCUAGUGAAGGUAUGUAGGUCUGUGGUAUAGUCUCAGUCCUAGUGAAGGUAUGUAAGUCUGUGGUGUAGUCCCAGUCCUAGUGAAGGUAUGUAGGUCUGUGGUAUAGUCUCAGUCCUAGUGAAGGUAUGUAAGUCGGUGGUGUUGCCUCAGCUUUAAAGUGCAGAUCAUACUUGUUUGGUUUGUUGUCGUCUUUUUAUGUCUGGUUCAUCUUUUGGAAUGAUUCCAACUCCCCCCUCCCUAGUCUCUCCCUCCCUCCCUCCCUCC
ensembl:lncRNA